GGGCCCGCACAAGCGGUGGAGCAUGUGGUUUAAUUCGAUGAUACGCGAGGAACCUUACCAGGGCUUAAAUGUAGUAUGACCGGCUUGGAAACAGGCCUUCUCUUCGGAGCAGAUUACAAGGUGCUGCAUGGUUGUCGUCAGCUCGUGCCGUGAGUGUUAGGUUAAGUCCUGCAACGAGCGCAACCCCGUAUUCUUAGUUGCCAGCGGUUCGGCCGGGGACUCUAAGAAGGACUGCCAGCCAAGCUGAGAGGAAGGUGGGGGAUGACGUCAAAUCAUCACGGCCCUUACGUCCUGGGGCUACACACGUGCUACAAUGGUAGAGACAGAGGGAGCCACCUGGUGACAGGGGAG
rnacentral:rRNA from 1 species